UACGUAGGGGGCAAGCGUUGUCCGGAUUUAUUGGGCGUAAAGAGCGUGUAGGCGGCCAGACAGGUCUGCUGUGAAAACUCGAGGCUCAACCUCGAGACGCCGGUGGAAACCGUCUGGCUAGAGUCCGGAAGAGGAGAGUGGAAUUCCUGGUGUAGCGGUGAAAUGCGCAGAUAUCAGGAAGAACACCCGUGGCGAAGGCGGCUCUCUAGUACGGUACUGACGCUGAGACGCGAAAGCGUGGGGAGCGAACAGG
rnacentral:rRNA from 1 species